AAGGAUCAUUACAGAGUUCAUGCCCUUACGGGUAGAUCUCCCACCCUUGAAUACUAUACCUUUGUUGCUUUGGCGGGCCGCCUCGGCUGCCGGCUUCGGCUGGUAAGUGCCCGCCAGAGGACCCCUAAACUCUGAAUGUUAAUGUCGUCUGAGUACUAUAUAAUAGUUAAAACUUUCAACAACGGAUCUCUUGGUUCUGGCAUCGAUGAAGAACGCAGCGUAGCCGUGCAUCGAUGUGGAAGUAAAAGUCGUAACAAGGCAUCGAUGAAGAACGCAGCGUAGCCAUCUGCAGCGAUGUGGAAGUAAAAGUCGUAACAAG
rnacentral:misc_RNA from 1 species